UACGGGGGGAGCGAGCGUUGUUCGGAAUCACUGGGCGUAAAGCGUGCGCAGGCGGUUUUGUAAGUCAGGAGUGAAAUCCCGGGGCUCAACCUCGGAAUUGCUUUUGAAACUACAUGACUAGAGUAUGGUAGAGGUUGGGAGAAUUCCUAGUGUAGAGGUGAAAUUCGUAGAUAUUAGGAGGAAUACCAGUGGCGUAGGCGCCCACCUGGACCAUUACUGACGCUUAGGCACGAAAGCGUGGGGAGCAAACACG
rnacentral:rRNA from 1 species